UAGUUUGAUUCUAACUAAUAGAUUAGUAUGUAUAUUAUAAAUCUCAUGCUAAAGCAGAGUAAAAUAAAUAAUAUAGGUUAUAACAACUUUGAGUAAUACCUAAUAGCAGCGAUGAGUACUUUAAUUAUAUGUAAAUACAUGAAAAGGUAUAAAUACUUUAGCUGGCCAAAUUCGUGCCAGCAGCAGCGGUUAUACGAUAAGCCUCUAAUAACCAAAAUCAAGAAAAAGAUAAAAUAAGCUAAUAUAAAAGUCAAAUUUCCACUAUAUAAGGUCUACAAUUAUCUUAUAAAAAGCUAUAAACUAAAACAAGGAUUAGAUACCCUUCUAUUAUUAGUAUAAAUAAUGAUUGGGGACUACGAGCAAUGGCUUAAAAACCCAAGAUUUUGGCGGUGUUUUAUUCAAUCAGGGGAAUCUGUCUCAUAAUCGAUAACCCACGAAAAAUUAACCUUACCCUUGAAAGCAACAGUUUGUGUACUGCCGUCCAAUGGGCCCUUAAGGUUACCCGUAAUAAAUUAUUAUAAAUUUUACGUCAGGUCAAAGUGCAGCUAACGGGAAGGGGAAGAUGGAUUACAGUCUAUACCAUAGAUAGAGUUAUAACAUAAAGUUAUAAUAAAAGAGAACUUGAUAGUAAUUUUAUUUAUAAAAAUAAAAUGAAUAAAGAACUUAAAACAAGCACAUAUCGCCCGUCACUCCUUUAUAUAGGAUAAGUCGUAACAUAGUAGGUGUAAUGGAAAUUGCAUCUGU
rnacentral:rRNA from 1 species